rnacentral:rRNA from 1 species
UAGGGAAUCUUCCGCAAUGGACGCAAGUCUGACGGAGCAACGCCGCGUGAGUGAAGAAGGAUUUCGGUUCGUAAAACUCUGUUGUUAGAGAAGAACAGCGCAUAGAGUAACUGUUAUGCGUGUGACGGUAUCUAACCAGAAAGCCACGGCUAACUACGUGACAGCAGCCGCGGUAAUACGUAGGUGGCAAGCGUUGUCCGGAUUUAUUGGGCGUAAAGCGAGCGCAGGCGGUCAAUUAAGUCUGAUGUGAAAGCCCCCGGCUCAACCGGGGAGGGUCAUUGGAAACUGGUUGACUUGAGUGCAGAAGAGGAGAGUGGAAUUCCAUGUGUAGCGGUGAAAUGCGUAGAUAUAUGGAGGAACACCAGUGGCGAAGGCGACUCUCUGGUCUGUAACUGACGCUGAGGUUCGAAAGCGUGGGUAGCAAACAGG